UAUCAAACAUUAAGGCGAAUAGCAGAAGGGGUUUAACUUCGAUCGUAGUCGAAGCACGUCGUCUCAGGUUUACGACUUUCGUCCCUUUUCAUGACAUAUUUUUGUUGUUCCUUUCGAAUAUUUAAUCUCUGUUGUCUUGAUGAUAAGGCUUGGUAUAGUUUGAGGUUGAUAAUAUUGAUUUUGUUUCUUUUGCCCUUUUAUUGGAAUGUUUAGUAAGAAAUCUUCACAACAGUUUCUUCAUAGUCUAUGGGUUAUAUAUCUUUUCCUUUGUUUGCAAUCCAGUUUAACAUCGUAGCAAUGUUUCGUUUGCUAGAGUAACCAUUGUUUGGUUUUGUGAGCGUGUUGCAGGUUUAAAAGCACAAACUCAAAGCCGUUGUCGCCAAGUUGUGAAUGUGAAUGGCUUUUGUACCAUUUUUAUGGUCUCACUUUGUUGUGAAAUUAACCCGACAAUUAUGAUUGCUUGCUACCAGGCGUGGCAACUUCAGUUGCAGCCGCGGUGGCACUAAGCCGUCCUCACUUGAUAAUUUUGAGAAGUUAUUGGUUGGUUUUGUGUCCUUGCUUCGACUCUAAAAGGUCAACCAGCUCUCAGCUUCUCCACCCAUCGUCCCACACCCCACCGUUGCGCCAAUGUCGUGCUGGUGUUCCGCGCCCACAACUUGGUAUCCCCUCUGCCCCCACAAUACGCUGCCUUGUGCAUAAACUUUUGUUUGUAAAACAAUGUUGUGGUCCAUAAAACUCGAAGAAGGCCGUUUGAGUACUUUCGGAUUACAGAUUCGUGUGCUAAUAUUGUUAAAUUGCAAACAAAGUUCCUUUUGAAGUUAUAGGUUUCGCUGGAUCUAUUGUUGAUGCACUUGGUUCGGGCUUUCGUUUUCACCCGUUAAUUCGGGUUUUGCAUUCUACUUAUGGAAGUGUCAGCAGAUCUCAAAUAAAUGGUUUGAAACCUUCCUCCACAACGCCGCGAUAUCCAUAGCGCUGCCAAUUUUUUUUGCCUCAUAACCCCGCCCGUAGUGGUGUUCGGGGGGUUAUGGGGGGUUAUGAGAGAAAAUGGCGCCCCACUACGCAUCACCUUAGACGACUUCAGUUUCUUUAGAACUUAAUUUUGUGUAAUCAUAGGGUGCUUAAAGGAUUAUACCAAUUUAGAAGUUAAAGGUCAACUUUGGUGAACAAACAAAAGUGAAGGCUAUUAAGUUGUUGAAGUUGAUGAAUGAAUAUAAGUGUCUUAGAAAGUUUUAUUGAGUCAUUUUUGCUAUGUUUUUUUUUGUCUUUUUUCGGUUUUUUAGUAUCCAUUACGAUAUGCUUUGAUAGUGCGUCAAGUAUACGCGGGUGCUUUUUAUUUGAUGAAUAGAAAAGUAUAAGAUUGUUGUGUUGAAGAGAUGAGUGCGAAACCGAAAUAUGAGGGGUUUGUCGGGGUUAAAG
rnacentral:lncRNA from 1 species